rnacentral:rRNA from 1 species
UACGGGGGGUGCGAGCGUUGUCCGGAAUCACUGGGCGUAAAGGGCGCGUAGGUGGCUUGGUGAGCGUGUGGUGAAAGCCCGGGGCUCAACCCCGGGUCUGCCAUGCGAACUGCUAUGGCUUGAGCACUGUAGAGGCAGGUAGAAUUCCGGGUGUAGUGGUGAAAUGCGUAGAGAUCCGGAGGAACACCAGAGGCGAAGGCGGCAUCCUGGGACAUUACUGACGCUGAGACGCGAAAGCUAGGGGAGCAAACGGG